rnacentral:siRNA from 1 species
ACGUCACAUAUUUGCAGUCGGCCA